UAGUCCACGCUGUAAACGAUGUCUACUAGCCGUUGUGUUGUAAAGACUUAGUGGCGUAGCUAACGCGAUAAGUAGACCGCCUGGGGAGUACGGCCGCAAGGUUAAAACUCAAAUGAAUUGACGGGGCCCGCACAAGCGGUGGAGCAUGUGGUUUAAUUCGACGCAACGCGAAGAACCUUACCUACUCUUGACACCCACAGAAGCCGGAAGAGAUUUUGGUGUGCCUUAGGGAACCGUGAGACAGGUGCUGCAUGGCUGUCGUCAGCUCGUGCUGUGAAAUGUUGGGUUAAGUCCCGUAACGAGCGCAACCCUUAUCCUUGAUUGCCAGCACGUGAAGGUGGGGACUUAAAGGAGACUGCCGGUGACAAACCGGAGGAAGGUGGGGACGACGUCAAGUCAUCAUGGCCCUUACGAGUAGGGGCUACACACGUGCUACAAUGGGCGUAUACAGAGGGGAAGCGAACCUGCGAGGGGUAAGCGGAAUCCGGUUAAAGUGCGUCGUAGUCCGGGAUU
rnacentral:rRNA from 1 species